AGUGAACGCUGGCGGUAGGCCUAGCACAUGCAAGUCGAACGGCAGCACAGUAAGAGCUUGCUCUUACGGGUGGCGAGUGGCGGACGGGUGAGGAAUACAUCGGAAUCUACUUUUUCGUGGGGGAUAACGUAGGGAAACUUACGCUAAUACCGCAUACGACCUACGGGUGAAAGCAGGGGAUCUUCGGACCUUGCGCGAUCGAAUGAGCCGAUGUCGGAUUAGCUAGUUGGCGGGGUAAAGGCCCACCAAGGCGACGAUCCGUAGCUGGUCUGAGAGGAUGAUCAGCCACACUGGAACUGAGACACGGUCCAGACUCCUACGGGAGGCAGCAGUGGGGAAUAUUGGACAAUGGGCGCAAGCCUGAUCCAGCCAUACCGCGUGGGUGAAGAAGGCCUUCGGGUUGUAAAGCCCUUUUGUUGGGAAAGAAAAGCAGCAGGUUAAUACCCCGCUGUUCUGACGGUACCCAAAGAAUAAGCACCGGCUAACUUCGUG
rnacentral:rRNA from 1 species